rnacentral:rRNA from 1 species
UGGGGAAUUUUGGACAAUGGGCGCAAGCCUGAUCCAGCCAUGCCGCGUGCAGGAUGAAGGCCUUCGGGUUGUAAACUGCUUUUGUACGGAACGAAAAGGUGCCUUCUAAUAAAGGGCGCUCAUGACGGUACCGUAAGAAUAAGCACCGGCUAACUUCGUGCCAGCAGCCGCGGUAAUACGAAGGGUGCAAGCGUUACUCGGAAUUACUGGGCGUAAAGCGUGCGUAGGUGGUUGUUUAAGUCUGAUGUGAAAGCCCUGGGCUCAACCUGGGAAUGGCAUUGGAAACUGGGCAGCUAGAGUGCGGUAGAGGGUAGUGGAAUUCCCGGUGUAGCAGUGAAAUGCGUAGAGAUCGGGAGGAACAUCUGUGGCGAAGGCGACUGCCUGGACCAGCACUGACACUGAGGCACGAAAGCGUGGGGAGCAAACA